ACCCGCGUAGCUCAAUGGAAGAGCGCCAGUCUACGAAGCUGGGCCUCGUGAAGGUUCGAGUCCUUCCGUGGGUG
rnacentral:tRNA from 1 species